CAUAAAAUGACUAUAUAUUGGUAGUUACAAGAAAAACUAAAAUACACCACAAUGUAGUGAGUAUAAAUACAUUAAAUAAAGAUAUUAAAUCUAUUAUUUUUAGACAUAAUUAGCUUUAAACAAUUUAUAGGUUAAAAUAAUUAUGUAGAUAGUACAGAAUUAGAAUCUAGAAUACCAAAUAUAGAUAAAUAGUAAAAAAAAUUAACCUCACUACCACCAAAAUGAACAUCAAAUUUGAACAUAUGAAAUGGAAUUAAUUAAUAAGUUAAAAAAUAAAAUUUUCAAUUUUAAAACAGUUUUUUUUUUUUAAAUUGCAGCAUAUAUUUUUAAUGAAAUUUAUACUUACAUAUCCAUUAAAUAUUACCUAUAAUAACUAAGAUAAGUAUUUAAUUUAAACUUAAGUUUUAAUGAAGCCUAAAUUUUCUAUUCUCAACUCUAAACUUAAACAUAGCUUUAGCAAAUAUUAAUGAAGCCUAAAUUUCAUUUAUGUUAUUUUGUAAUUAAUAAUGUAAACCCUAAAAUUAGUUCUGAAAAUAAUUCAAAAUAAUAAAAAAAAAACACAUAAACCUAUAGAUCAGGCAAAUUAAUGCUCCAUGCUGUAAAUUUAAAAACAAACAUAAUAUCAAACAAAAUUUUCUACAAUAAAUGUGCAAAAGAAAAAAUAAGUAAUACUCACAUUUUGCAAGAAGUAGUGGAGAAUAGAAACAUUUGAUGAUCUUACCUUAAAAAAAAAUAAGUUAGAGAUUUGUCGAAAGGAGGGGAGGUUUAGGUGAAAUCUUGAGAGAAAAUGUUAUAAAAAUAGUAGUUAAAAGGCCGGAACACACAGAGAAUGAUAAAAUCUAAAGAAAACACUAGAUGCAUAUUUUUUUGUUGAUUGAAUUAUUAAGGUAACAGCUGUUAUCAUUAGUUAACAGUAAAUAAUGGUUGUUACCGUUAUACAAUGGUAGUAAUGGCCGUUAUCAAUGUAACUCAACAUUUGCCUUUAAAUAACGGGGUAAAGUGUAAUGGCCCCUUGGAAAACUCAUAAAUAAUGGC
rnacentral:misc_RNA from 1 species